rnacentral:rRNA from 1 species
CCUACGGGGGGCUGCAGUGGGGAAUAUUGGACAAUGGGCGAAAGCCUGAUCCAGCCAUGCCGCGUGUGUGAAGAAGGCCUUCGGGUUGUAAAGCACUUUCAGUGGGGAAGAAAGCCUUGGGGCUAAUACCCUCGAGGAAGGACAUCACCCACAGAAGAAGCACCGGCUAACUCCGUGCCAGCAGCCGCGGUAAUACGGAGGGUGCGAGCGUUAAUCGGAAUUACUGGGCGUAAAGCGCGUGUAGGCGGUCUGAUAAGCCGGUUGUGAAAGCCCCGGGCUCAACCUGGGAACGGCAUCCGGAACUGUCAGGCUAGAGUGCAGGAGAGGAAGGUAGAAUUCCCGGUGUAGCGGUGAAAUGCGUAGAGAUCGGGAGGAAUACCAGUGGCGAAGGCGGCCUUCUGGACUGACACUGACGCUGAGGUGCGAAAGCGUGGGUAGCAAACAGGAUUAGAUACCCUAGUAGUC